rnacentral:lncRNA from 1 species
AUCAAAUUUAAAACGUGCAACAUUUAUACAUUAGUCCUCGAAUUUUGCUAACCUUUAGCAAUUAAGCCCUAGUAAUUUGUAACAAUUACAAAUUAAUCUAAUCAUCAAUCACAUUAAUAAUUCAGAUGACAACCAUCUAAUCAGUCUCAAACUCCUUAUAUGUGUGACCCCAUAAGUUCUGUUGGUGCAAAAAUCCGUCUGCGCCG